rnacentral:rRNA from 1 species
CAGUAGCCACGGUAAUACGUAGGUGGCAAGCGUUGUCCGGAAUUAUUGGGCGUAAGGGCUCGCAGGCGGUUUCUUAAGUCUGAUGUGAAAGCCCCCGGCUCAACCGGGGAGGGUCAUUGGAAACUGGGAAACUUGAGUGCAGAAGAGGAGAGUGGAAUUCCACGCGUAGCGGUGAAAUGCGUAGAGAUGUGGAGGAACACCAGUGGCGAAGGCGACUCUCUGGUCUGUAACUGACGCUGAGGAGCGAAAGCGUGGGGAGCGAACAGGAUUAGAUACCCGCGUAGUCCCUGUCUCUUAUACA